UACCAGCACCCCGAGUGGUCGGGACGAUUAUUGGGCCUAAAGCAUCCGUAGCCGGUUCUACAAGUCUUCCGUUAAAUCCACCUGCUUAACAGAUGGGCUGCGGAGGAUACUAUAGAGCUAGGAGGCGGGAGAGGCAAGCGGUACUUUAUGGGUAGGGGUAAAAUCCGUUGAUCCAUAGAAGACCACCAGUGGCGAAGGCGGCUUGCCAGAACGCGCUCGACGGUGAGGGAUGAAAGCUGGGGGAGCAAACCGG
rnacentral:rRNA from 1 species